UCCUUCCCUCUUCCUUCCUUCCUUCCUUCCUUCCUUCCUUCCUUCCUUCCUUCCCUCCCUCCUUCCUCUCAUAAUUUUCUGGGAACACCGUGGGAAGAAAAGUGUGGCUGCCACAUCCCCUGUUGCUCAAACCUCUAGGCCUUCUGUUUUGCUAGUCCUGCCUCCCCAAGCUCACAGGUCUGAAGACACGACAAGAGCAAACACUCUUGGCACCCCGAGGAGGUUGGUGACCCCGGUAAAUGGCAAGCAUGAGCAUCAGGGGUUAUUAGAGACAGAGAUGGCAUCUUGCCAUAAGAAAUUGGAGAGCCAGUAACGAUUCCGAAAAUACCUGUGAUCUGCAUUAAGACAACUGUAUAAAUAAAGAACUAAGUGACUCGACCCUUGGAGAGUUGUUUCGAGAAAACCGUUCCUAAAAACGUAUCACAAUCCAACUGGGCCUUGAGGACCACGGUGCCAAGCCAAACUCAAAGAGAAGAUGCACAAACUCAACGAGAAGAUGUUUUCCUUAGUGUGGAGUCAUCGGGGGGACACGCCAUGAACUUGGUCCAAUGAGCAAUGAAAUGCUUUGAAAAUAUUUAAAUGGAUGUGUACCGUAAAAUAAUGUGGAACGGGCGUCUACAAUACCUUUUGAACUUUCCUCCUGGCUGUCCUCACACGUUUUACACAUCGGGGGUGUUGCUGAAAACUUGAGUGUGAAUCCAUAUGCUAAGUGGAAUUAGGUUUUAAAUAUUCUAGGGAUACUCCUGGCAUGGGGGAACCCCGUAUCCGUGAAGAAGCCACAGAGAAAGUCAGUACCUACACCAAUGGUCUCCGCUCUGUUUGGACGGCCCCCCGCCCCUGCCCUCGGCCUGUGAAGAGCCUUUGAGGACACGCAUCAGCAGCGCCUUGCUCUCACUGCUGGGUCAGGGGAGGAAAGGGCCGGUCCUGGGGAAGGGUCAAGGGCAGGCUGUUUUGUUCUCCGGCAGCAAAACAGAGCAGGCGAGAGGAAACCACCCAAGUGAUGAGCUCUGCAGAGGACAAGUGAAGCCUGAGUCUAAACACAAACGUGGAGGAGCUCAUCUCCUUGGAGCUGUUUAUAUUACAUAACUCAAAUAAACACAGCAGCGCGAGAUCGGUUCCCUUGGCGAGGGCCAGGACCACAGGGCCGAGAGGCAGACAAAGGGCGUCUCCUCCCGCCCCGCUCAGAAACGGGCUUCCUUAAAACAACGACCCGACUACAGCAACACUAAUAACACACAGGGACACACCAGCAGGGUUUAGCAGGAUACCCUGAAUAAACUAGACCAGAGCCACUCUAAUGAGGACUGGAAGGUGUCUUUCUUUUCUCCGGCUAAGCAACAGACCCUGAUCAGAGCGAGAAGAAACAAAACUGACCCUGGAAUGAUUCUUUGCAUUUGCAAAGGAGGGAAGCCAGUCACCUGCGGUGGUUCUCUCAGUACUCAGAGCCGCUGGGAAACCAGGGAGGACCACAGUGGCUACCUGCCCAGGCAUCGGAGGGGCAGCCGACCUUCUCAGACUUCAGCCCUUUGCCGCCCCGAGGCAAAACAGGGGGGUACCCCAGCCUCUGGGAAGCAUCGGGCAGUUUCCAUGGCAUCUAUGUGAAGAAGAAGUAGAAGAGGAAGAAAAAAAGAAGUUUCCAACUCGGUAAAUGAGCACAGGCGCACAGGCCCGAUGUCUGAACGAAAUCAGAGAGCCUUGGAAUUGAGAGCAGGCGAGAACCUACUGAAACUUCUUUUUCGUCAGUGGCCUGCAGUCUCCUGGGACACAAGCCCUAUCGUAUGCCAGGGGACAAGAAUAGAACCAAAAAUUGAGAACACAGCCCUUAGCACGGGCUGAUGGCAUUGGUUGCCAACAGUUGCCCCAUUAGUAGGCUAUGGGGACAUGCUAGGGAACAUUUUCUCUACGAGGCUUGUGUUUAAAAAUAUAUCUUGCUUCAGAGCUGGCCCUAGGCGUGGCUGGGGAGUAAGAGCCUCCUUUUUCCGUGCUGAGAAGGUGCCAGUCACUCUGUGAUUUACUGCCGAUCCCUUACCCCUCUGAGCCUGCCCCUUACGUGCCGUGUGACAGUCACCCAGACCUCAACCCGGCCUGUGGCAAGUUAAUGUUUCAGACGAUUCCUGGAUGGAAGCCACGCUCCAGGGUCGCCCUCCCCCAUGAAGUUGCUGGAUGCACGCAGGGCCAGGGCUGAAAGACAGUGGUCAUUACAAAGGGCUCUGACCUCUUCUCACCCUGUGGAUGUGUCCCUGGAGACAUUUCUCUCUCCAUUUCCUUAUUCCCAGACGGAGGCAACAGUUCCUGCCCACGUCCCAAGGAUGUUUAGAAGUCAUGGCUAACGGAAAUGACCGAGAAGCUCUUGGCAGAUGCCCAGUUCAGAAUUGCGUGCUGAAUGACGGCCUCCCUCACCCACCCUCUGUACCGCAUUACCUACGUGCCCUGCUCUCACCGCUCUGCUGACCACCCUGGGGCGCGAAGCCGGUCUGCCCAGAGGUCCUGGGGUCCGCUAGAGAAGGUUCCCUUUUCGGGAACCACUGCGAUCCCCGCAUGGCCGAACUCGUAUUUCGGGUCGGAAACAACAGGUGAUGCAUCUGGCCGCGGGCACCCAGGGCUUGGCGCCCCUUCCCCCAGAGGGGGUGGAAGUGAAUCAAUCGACAUGGUGGGGUCAAGUUUGAGCGUGCCUUGGCGAAACCCUGGGGACCUCCUUUCUUGAAAAACAACUGGGACAGGGUGACAGCUGUUCAAGGAUGCCAAAGAAAAGGGUCCCCCGGGGAAACCUCCCCAGGGAAGUCUCUGCCUGCAGGAGGCUGUGAGUGACACAGAAGACAGUCGGCAGAAGUGGGCACAGCCCGGCCCGGGUGAACUCUCCGGGUAGCCAGCGAUCAGAAGCACCGUGCACGUGUAAAAUCUGGUGGUAACGAGGACCGUGGUGGCAGCGGUGACAUUGACUAUCACAGACGGUGGGGCCUAUCGAACUGUUCUGAAGCUGUGGCCCCUGUAAGGACUUGGCUGCAAAAUGGCUACCAUAUUAGAAUCGUCACAGCUCUUUUGGCCUUUAUUUAUUUUUAUUUAUUUGAGAGAGAGAGAGAGAGAGAGCAGGAGAGGGGCAGAGAGAAAGAGAGAGAAUCCCAAGCAGGCUUCACACUCAGCAUAGACCCCAACAUGAAGCUCAAUCCCACGACGGUGAAAUCACCACCCAGAGGGACCACGUGACCCUCCCCAUUUGCACAUGGGCCGCCGCCUCUGAGGCAGGCUGGGAGAAUUCCUUGUGUGGAAGUCACUGGACUUCAAUCCCAAAGACCUGGAUUUGACUCUGGGAUCAACCACUUCCUAGCAGUGUGAACUGGGCCACAGUAGCUAACCUUUCUGAGACUCAAUGGUCCCAUCUAUAAACUGGAGCAAACGAUGCCUCACCUCGGGGAGGUGAGGGGCCAUCAGAGGAAGCACGCAGCCCCAGGAGGGAUUGAUUCACAGAUGCGGCUUCGUGCCCCGCUUCCUCUCCACGGCUCCGGUGCCGAAAUCCGAGGUCACACGACAUCGCUGUCAGAACAAGUCCACGCCGCCGCCAUCCUAUCUGAGAGGCCUGCGCCAGGGCGGCCUUGGCUCCUGAGCCUGCCCUGGUGUAGGGUUCUCGGUGGCACUAUUUUUGGCAGAUUUUUUUUUUUUUUUUUUUUUUUAUCCUUGCUCUUUAUCACAAGCCUGUCGGGCAAAUGACAGAGGAAUUGCAAGCUUGAAUGGGCUUGUCUGACAGGCCAACUUUCAUCCCGGGUGCUGCUGCCUGACUUUGAAAAAGGAACUCUGGGCAGAAGAGAGUAAUUUCACACUGAUUCCUCGCCAUAAUUUGCUUUGGGGUUGAAAACGUCGCGUUUCAAUCAUCCCCGCUUCGCGCUGCAGGGGAGAAGACGGGCCACGCGUGCAGGUGACGCGUUUGCCGCGGGCCCGCACCGAGACGACUGCCUGGCUCUGAAGCAACAGCCCUGAGACACACGGGCGGGCGCGCCAAGGAGCUCUCCGCCAGCCACAAACGAGUGCCUUCAGAGGAGCCCAUAAGAAAUGGGUUCUGGCAGAAAGAGAGAGCCGCCUAGGACGCGGAGCCUCAUAUCGGACACCUCCAUCAUUCAAGAAUCCAUUAGAACGUCUUUCUCCCCCAGGCCCACGUUCCGCGGAGGAGUUGGGUGGCUGCAGGCAAACCGCAAACGUAGGAGGGUCCGAGACAAGCGUGCUCAGCGCCGACAGGCGUGAGCUGGGAGGUACGGGAGGGAAGGGGAAAGUGGCAUCCAGGCCAAUGACAGCUGGCGAGGCUGUGCGUGAAGCAUCCGCCGGGGACAAGGACAGGGGCUCGUGGGGAGGUCAGGGGACGUGGUCGUUCCCGGGUCAGCAGCAGGAAGCGGUGACUUCUCCCGCGUCAUAAACCGUCCCGUCCUUCGCCACCUCUCGCCACACUUACUCAAGAGGCCACACUGCCUGAUACCUGCUGAUUUUUCCUGGGAUGGCUUCGAAAUGGUUCACGUCCUUAAUCUUGCUCCUCAACUGGAUUGUAAGCUCUCUGAGGUCAGGAACCCAUACCUAACCCUCUCUGCAUGCCCCGAAGCUCCUUCCUAGGGCUGAGCACAAACCAAGACUCAAUAACCACCCGGAGUCUAUCGGAGACCUUCACACACCGCUGACAAAGAUUCAGCGGUACUGGAGGGUUUGCUCCAGGAUCAGCCAGCGUAUUUCUCAGCGAACGAAUCAAGCUUGUUCUCGGCGGGACAUCAGGCUAUUGACGGUCUAUCCAGCCGGACUUUUGGGCCUUCUUGGCCAUGCCUCACAUGCUGUAGACUCCAGCUAUGUGCAACCGAAUGCUCUUGGCGCCUCUGUGCCUUUGCACAGGCUGAUCCCUUGGCCUGGCUGCCCUUCCCUCAUUCUUCCAUCCAUGGACUUGGCGUUUCGGCUCCAGGUCAACCCGCCCCUUCCCGCAGGGCGGCCAGCAUCCCUUGGGCAGAGCUGGUGAGGCCUCCGCCUGUGGGUCCGGAGUACUUUCCGGAGGCCUGACAGGACAGGUGGCCUGGUGGCCCUGCCACCCAGUUGAUGCUGUCUGCUUGACCGAUCUGCCCCCUUCGUCAUCUCUCAGCUUUGGCUCUCGGCGCAGUGCCUGGCACUUGGUAAAGGUUUAUCGUAUGAAUGUGUCUCCCACAUUUGGCCUAUCAUGGCGACGGCAGUCAGGGCCCAGCAGGUCACGUGGGGACACGGCAAAAGACGUGAGACCAAACGAACGCUUCGGAGGGAAGCAAGGCCCUGGGGCCCUCCCGAUAAGCUGGGGCACCUGGGACCAACCCCCAGCUGUGAGGUUGGGGGAAGUGACACUUGCUUUCCGGAGCCCCGGCCUCAUCUCGGGACCUCACUCCACCUUGUGGGGUUUCGAAAACGUCAUGCAACCUUCUCAUGGCCUUUAGUGACACGGCCGGACCGGGCGAUUAUUCCUGGUCUCCUGCGAUGGGUGUGGGGUGUGACCGGGCAGCAGCAGUGUGUCAGGUGGAGAGGGUGGCGUCAGCCCUGGACGUGGGGGAGGUGGCGAAGAUCGUGGACUCCAGCCUGGCCUCACACCCAGCCCCCACCCCUGCCCCGCCAUGCGACGCGGUGGGAAGGCCUCAGCUUCCCCGCGCAUAAAGGGUGAAGCAACCCCCACGGGGUUGUUCAGAAAGUCGGGCAAAUGGACGCGUGUGAGCAUCGAGGGGGAUGCCCGGCACGUGACGAUGGCUCCUGAAAAGCCAGCCCCCGUCACUUGGAAUUGGAAGAUGAGUGUCAAAUCUGGCUUUCUCCACUUGCAAGUUGUGUGACCUGAGUGGGUCAAGGUGUCUUACCUCUCCGCUCACAUUCUCUGGUUCCUGAGAGGAGGGCAGGACUGCUGCCCUCACUGGCUGUCUUGAGAUGCAAGGAGAUAAUGGGAGGGAAUGUGCUUUGCAAGCCAUGCGUUUUCCUGGGGUAGCUGUGAGUUGCCUGUGCGAAGGCAUUGAGAGGUGAGGAGACCUUGGAGAUCCUGCCACGUGAGAGCUACCCCUUAAUGGAGACAAUGACCGUCUAGUAACCAAACUUGUAAUUUCUGUAAAGCGCAUGCUUUGACAGCCACCUGGGGUUGGGGGGGGGGAGGUCUAUUAGCGACCCGUAGGCAAAACUGUGACUCUCCCAAUGCGAAGUUCGAGUCUGAGGGUCCACUUGGCUGAGCCACGGUUCCCAGACAUGUAGUCAAACAUUAUUCUGGACGUGUCUGUGAGGGUGUAUCUGGAUGAAAUUAACAUUUAAAUCAUUGGACUCUGAUCCAAUGUCCUCUAUAAUGUGGGUGGGCCUCAUCCAAUCAGUUGAAGGCCAGAAUUGAACAAAAGACUGACCCCACCCCCACCCCCACCCCACACACACACCCAUCCCCAUGCAAGAGGUAAUUUUGCCAGCAGACUGUCUCUGGACUUGAACUGUGGCAUUGACUCUUCCCUGGGUCUCUAGCCAGCCAGCCUACUCAGCAGACUUUGGACUUGCCAGCCUCCAUAAUCACCAUAAUUGUGCUAAUUACCUAAAAUCUUUCUCUCUCUCUCUCUCUCUCUCUCUCUCUCUCACACACACACACACACACACACACACACACACACUGUUGGUUCUGUUUCUUUGAAGAACCCUAAUAUACCCAUAAACAUUUGGAGUCCUCAGAUAGCUUUAAACUAUAAACUCUAACAGUCCCAGUGAACACAGAUUUCACAGGGAGGCCAGUUUCAAACACUAGCCGAUCCUAAGCAUGACUUUGUCCUGCCUCGCCUGUUCCCUCCCAUGGAAACCACACAUGCCCCCUCCUUCUGCUCCCUGACCGCCCCCGGUGCUUACCCAGGAGAUCCUGCAUGGUGUCCCGUGCUCUCUCAAGGGAACCGUGACUAUAAUAAAGUCUUUAAAAUUU